CUGUCACCUUCCAAAACCAGCAAUCUAGCGCUCCCCUCCUCUUCACACACUGACUCACGCCUGUGUUUUUCGUCAAGGUGAGAGAGAAACUCGAUAACAGAGUAACGCUGAAUUGUUUCCCUGAACCGCUUUGACUUCAGAUUUCUGCAACUGCAGGGUUUUUUUCCUACUUAUUCAGCGUCUCUGAAGAAAAGUGUGCUCUCUGAGGUUUGAGGAUUUAAUGAUGUGAGAAACAAGAGAGUCACGAACACAGACAGGUGACAGAAGUGAGGAAAUUCAAGUGUAAGUGAGGUGUUGUCUGAACGAGUCGAAGCUCUGACUCUGAAACUCUCUGAGAGAUGGGAAGUCAUUAUGUUGAGGACAGUGUCUGCAGAGCAGAAGUGGUUAAGAUCAGAUGGUGAGUGAGAAGACAAGAAAAAAAACCCUUAAAGGGAUAUUCCGGGGUUAAAUUAAUUUAGGGUCAAACACGCCGUAACACCGAGUUAGACCCCCCCUCCAGAGAUGGAUGUUGUCGACCGCUUGCUUCUCUAGUUAUACCAACUUUAGUAACGACCGCAGGAUAGAAAUACAGAGAGCCACGCCCUCAACCAAAACGCCACUCUAUAGCCACAAAUAAUGCUCAGAACAGCACCUAACUUCAUCAACAGGACAUAUAGGGUCACAGACAUAGUACUAGACACCAAACAUCUUUUUAACUUUGACUCAUUUCUUUAGCAAAGAGACUAAACACAACUCACCUACUCUCUUCCAAUUCCAUUACAGACUACAGCGGGGUGCCGCAGCUCAAGGAAGAACAUUUAUGAUCAUUUCUUUAUCAUUUCCUUGAAGUAAUAAUCACCAUAUUGAUCAUUUUACAGACGCGGUAGUUCUUCUGUCUUAGCGUCUCGGUCUGAUUGUAUUUCCAUGAAGAAAUGAUCAUAAAUGUUCUUCCUUGAGCUGCGGCACCCCGCUGUAGUCUGUAAUGGACUGGCCUGAGGUCUCACUACAAACAAGCGGCUGCUGGAAGAGAGUAGGUGAGUUGUGUUUAGUCUCUUUGUUAAAGAAAUGAGUCAAAGUUAAAAAGAUGUUUGGUGUCUAGUACUAUGGCUGUGACCCUAUAUGUCCUGUUGAUGAAGUUAGGUGCUGUUCUGAGCAUUAUUUGUGGCUAUAGAGUGGCGUUUUGGUUGGGGGCGUGGCUCUCUGUAUUUCUAUCCUGCGGUCGUUACUAAAGUUGGUUUAACUAGAGAAGGAAGCGGUCGACAACAUUCAUCUCUGGAGGGGGGGUCUAACUCGGUGUUAC